UGGCGCAGCUGGAGGACUAGGUGUAAUACGGUCCCAGAAAAACUACAGGAUGGACUAACCCUGCUUAUUCCUGUGAAUCAAGAGGUGAUCUUCUGCAGCUUGGAAAAAAAAAAGCGAUGGAUGGAGUUUCACUCUUAUCACCCAGGCUGGAGUGCAAUAGCGCAAUCUUGGCUCACUGCAACCUCUGCCUCCUGGGUUCAAGCGAUUCUCCUGGCUGGCCCAGAGUGGUGGCAGUGGAGGCAGGGAGAAGUGUUCACAUUCUGGGUACCUUUGAAGGCCAGCUGCUACCCACCUCCUCGGCUCUGCAAGACACUCCCAGACCUGCCUGUGUCCUAUUCGUCUCCCCUCUGCAGACAGAGGCUCUCCUCAAGACUUUGUUCUGCAAAACCCCCACCACUACCCCUAAGAAGGCAAAAGGGCAACUGAGGCAUGAAGCAGGGGGCACGCACGGGGGAGUCCCACAUUCCUGAUCUGACUCCCCAGGCAUAUUGUGCUGCUUCUGGGGAGCUUGCCACGGCCUGCCUCCUCCCGGGUUUGGGCCCUUGUUUAUAUCUGUUCACCUGUGCUUUCCCCUUCCCUGCAGAACAGCGAUCAGAACCUGUUCAUAUCUGGGACCCCACAGUCCUUACCUAGGGCAGCUAGGUGUUCCCUGGCUGAAUGAAGGGAUGUGGAGUUUCCUGCUGGGUGGUGGGUAGGACAGGCUUGGAAGACAGGGGUGGAAUUAAGUAAGGAAGCUCCAGAAGGACACAGGGCCAUAGAUACUCUCCCACCCAACUCCAGGCCACAUCAGGAACACCUGCUAACAUUUCCUGAACACUCUUUUUGAGCCAGGCCCUGUGUAUUUUAGAUGCGGUUUCAUUUGAUCUUCACAGGAGCCCUAUGAGGUAGGCAUCCCCAACCCCACUUUAUAGAUGCAAACAACUAAGGCACAGAGAAGUUAUUUGUUCAAGGUCACAUGGCUACUAAGCAACAAAACUAGGAUGCAAAAGCAGAUUUGUUCGACCCCACAUGCUGUGUGCUUUGCUACAAUCCACACUGUCUCCCAGGCCCCACAGAGCCCCAAAUGCAUGUGUCUCACCAGUUUCACCUGUGGCCACUGUGCUCAGCUAUCCUCAUCCUAAGACAAUUGUAGUUAUGGUUAAGGAAAGCCUUUUAUUAAAUUGCCAAACACCAGGGAUGAUGA